GAUGAAGAACGCAGCGAAAUGCGAUACGUAAUGUGAAUUGCAGAAUUCAGUGAAUCAUCGAAUCUUUGAACGCACAUUGCACUCUCUGGUAUUCCGGAGAGUAUGCUUGUUUGAGUAUCAGUAAACACCUCAAAUCUCUUGUUUCUUGUGAAUAAGAGAAUUGGACUUGAGCAAUCCCAACUCUUGCAAAAGAGGCGGGUUGCUUGAAAUGCAGGUGCAGCUGGACAUUCUUCUGAGCUAAAAGCAUAUUUAUUUAGUCCCGUAAAACGGAUUAUUACUUUUGCUGCAGCUAACAUAAAGGUUGAAUGGCCAAUAUGGCUGACUGAUGCAGGAUUAACAGAGAAUUUAUUCUUUGUAAACUCGAUCUCAAAUCAAGUAAGACUACCCGCUGAACUUAAGCAUAUCAAUAAGCGGAGGA
rnacentral:misc_RNA from 1 species